GAAUGAAGAAAUACAUCCGACCUCAUAGAGCCGUCGCAGGCUGGUAUGUUGCUAAAGUUCCUCCACUUUUGUAGCUGAAGAUGUCACACCACUUCGUUCACAAUAUCCAACAAACUGCGGCUCUAUUUGAGCCACUGCUUC
rnacentral:lncRNA from 1 species